rnacentral:rRNA from 1 species
AGAAUCAACGCUGGCGGCGUGCCUAACACAUGCAAGUCGAACGCGAAAGGGGCUUCGGCCCUGAGUAGAGUGGCGAACGGGUGAGUAACACGUGGGUGAUCUACCUUUGAGUGGGGGAUAACGUCCCGAAAGGGACGCUAAUACCGCAUGACGUUCUGGGUUUAAAGACCUGGAAACCAGAGCCGGGGACCGCAAGGCCUGGCGCUUGAAGAGGAGCCCGCGUCCGAUUAGCUAGUUGGCGGGGUAACGGCCCAUCAAGGCGACGAUCGGUAGCCGGCCUGAGAGGGCGGACGGCCACACUGGGACUGAGACACGGCCCAGACUCCUACGGGAGGCAGCAGUGGGGAAUUGUUCACAAUGGGCGCAAGCCUGAUGACGCAACGCCGCGUGGGAUGAAGGUCUUCGGAUUGUAAACCCCUGUACGAAUGGACGAAAGACUCGUGAGUUAAUACUCCGCGAGAGUGACGGUAACCGUUAAAGGAAGCCAGGACUAACUCUGUGCCAGCAGCCGC